AGGAGACAGGACCUCACUUGACUGGCCCACAGCCAGGCCCUGGCUGUGUUGACAAAUGGGUCCUUCCCCCUGGCCUGGUGAGCUGAGAUGUGGCAUUGUUAAGCUGCAAGUGAGUCACAGAACUUUUCCUUCCCUUUCUUCCUCUCUGCCCUGCUUGUCCCACACCCUGCUCAUUUUUUUUUUCUCUCUCUCUCUCUCUCUCUCACACACACACACACACACACACACUUGCCUUUCAGAACCUGUGAACUAUAAAUAAGUGCUUUAUCACCAUAAAUGACUUGAUCCAGGCUAGGGUCGUGAGGGGCUUGGCUCAGGUUCCUGGGCAUGUGGAUACCUGCAGAGUGGGUUCCUGAGCACGUGAGGGCACAAGCGUGCAGUCUCGGACAAGCCUCAGUCUCCCCAGAUGUCAAAGGAGGACAAUGAUCUCUACAGAGAGGGGCUAACUGCACCGGGCCAGGCCCCAACUACUCGGGAGGCUGAGGCAGGAGAAUCGCUUGAAUCCAGGAGGCGGAGGUUGCAGUGAGCUGAGAUCGCACCAUCGUACUCCAGCCUGGGCAGCAAAAGUAAAACUCCAUCUCAAAAAAAAAAAAAAAAAAAGUAAUAUUUGUUAAGCAACAACUGUGCCCUGUGCUAAGUAAGUCUCAUGAGUUCAUUAUCUCAUUAAUUUUCACAAAAACUCGCAAGUACUGUCAACCUCAUUUUAUAGGUGACAAUCCUGGGGCCCAGGAGAUAAAGUAGCAUGCCUUGGGGGAGAGCUGGUUAGUGGCAGAACAAGGAUGGAAGCCCUGGCAGGCAUCCAAGGCAGGAUCCACAUGUUAAAGAGAAACCACUACACUGCACAUUCUGGUCAGUCACUGUUGGACUUUUGCAUUUGAGCCAGGGCUACCCAUCUGGUGUCCCUGAGUCCCUGGGUCUGCCCCAGGAGGGCCAAGGAGGAAUCAACUAAUUCCAGGGCUAUCUGUCCCCUCAAAGACACAAAUUUGCACAUGCUGGGAGCCUCAAGCCCCUUAGGAAUCAGCAUCAUCCACAAGCUGAUGCCUCCCACAUAAGGGAACACAUUUUCUUUUUUUCUUUUUUUGAGUCAGAGUCUCACUCUGUUGCUCAGGCUGGAGUACAGUGGCUCAGUCUCG
rnacentral:lncRNA from 10 species